AUCCCGAUUCUGAUAUCCCAAUUCUCUAAAGUUGUGACAAUUGCAAACCCCAAAAUACAUGGAAUGUUAGUUUUGAUUUAAUUCAGAAAACGUCAUGACUUACACUAACUCACAGAGAUCCUGCUCAAUAAACUCCUUUCACUUCCAGUAUGCUAUCUUUCAUACUGGAUUCCAGAGGGAAACAAAAUGGUACAAAACAUUGCAAUUUAAUUGAAAGAAACAAUCUGGAGCAUCACGAGAGCAGAUGCAGAGGGAAGACACUGCAAGCAGCAUUGAGUUGCAGAAGAACAACCGGAAUAAAAGGAUGGGUGUGUCGCUGGCUAGGUAGCAUUUAUUACCCAUCCCUAAUUGCCCAGAGGGCAGUUGAGAGUCAACCACUUCGUUGUGCGUCUGAAGUCUCAUAUAGGCCAGACCAGAAUGCUUGUGGAUUCCUCCCUGGACUCAACUACCAUACGCAGAAGGGAUAACCAGCAUAAUAUAUAACCAUGAGCCAUGACAAGAGUAUGAAUUCAAAAUUCUCCAUACGUCAUCACAAAUACAGAAGAUAUUGUUACUAAGUAAUUGCAUCAUCUAAUAAAGGAGUUAUUGAGAAUGAAAAUGGAGCUCCUGAAAACCAAAAAAGAGGCGCCAAAUAUCAAAUUCUGGCUGAAAAGAAAACCUCAAGAGAAGCCCUUGAAAAAGCACAUUUCAAACUUUGGUUGGAGCCCUCACUUGGUGUAUUUCAAUAAGACCCAGAUGAUGUUGCAUUGUUCUCUUUCCCUUCUCUUCUAAAAACUAACUGCUACAUCAUAUGUAUUUCAUACCUGUUAUCAGCAUUUCUGAAACUUCUAUCUUUACCUAUCCUCUCAUUUAUUCAUUCUUAUAUUUGCACUAAUACUUUCCCUCCCAAACUUUUAUUCAAAUUGAUAUUUUCCUAUUUUUUCAUUAUAUAACUUAAAAAAGAAUAUUCCAACCUUUUCCAUUACUAAAGAAAGUUUGUCUCACCCUAAAACAUGAAUACUACUUUUCUCCUCAGAUGCCUGCUGUAUAUUUCUAGCAUUUUCCUUUGAAAUA